rnacentral:rRNA from 1 species
GACGAACCGUGCGAACGUUAUUCGGAAUCACUGGGCUUAAAGCGCGUGUAGGCGGGACGGCACGUCGGCCGUUGAAAUCCCCCGGCUCAACCGGGGAAGGGGCGCCGAUACGACCGGCCUGGAGGGACGUAGGGGGGGCUGGAACUUCCGGUGGAGCGGUGAAAUGCGUUGAGAUCGGAAGGAACGCCCGUGGCGAAAGCGAGCCCCUGGACGUCUACUGACGCUGAGACGCGAAAGCCAGGGGAGCGAACGGG